UCGCCGUCCGUGUGGUUGCUAUUCAUGGGCUAUUAGCCCAACCCGUUUCCGAUCCAUGGACAGCCCAUCAUAAACUUCCAUUUGGGUUAGUCUCAAAAUAUAACCGUCGUGACAGCUUAAAACCGCAUUCCAUUUCUCCCAGAGGGAAAGAAAGAUGGGAUCUCGAAGCCCUCAAUCCGAUCGCGCCUCCUCUGCCGCCCUCGCCCGUCCAACUUCUUUCUCCUCUCCUUGUGACCGCUCAAGCCCUCCAAAUCCCCACACCUUCAACCCUCUUCGUCGUUUGUUUCCGACGAGAAAGGAGGUGCCAAGAAGAUCUCGGCUCCAAGCCCCUUUCAAACCUAAUGCCUUGCGAAUCGAUUCCGCCGUCGAGAACUCACAUGAGAAGAAGAAGAAGAAGAAGGGUCUCCCCGAUUUUCUUUUGAUGAAGGAGAGCGCUCUGUCUGGGCACUGGUACAUCGUCGGGUGGAUAACCUUAUUGCACUGGACGCGUUGUUAUGUGAGUUGUCUUGUUUCUUUCCUCUUCUUGAUGAAUGGAGUUUGGCUAUUUGGUUAACGGCUGUCGUACAGACCAAUUAUCUGGGGACAGAGGGCAUGCAUCUUUCUCAAUGUUGAUCUUAAUUAAAGAAAAUGAUAUAUUUACUGAGCCUAAAUUCUACGAUAGAUUUUCUGCCAUAGCGAUUGUUAUUGCUGAGAAUGAACUCGUGGGAUGUAGAUAACCUUUAUAGAGAUUUGCUUAUGGAUUUGCAGACUAGCGUAUUUGGAUUUACAUAGAGUUGAGUAGUGAGACGUACCCAGAGGUACAGUGUAACUAGAUUGAUCAGUUCAUACGGUGGAAUUUUUUAUACAAUCAAUUAUGUAUUUACUAUUCUUGAAAAUCAAGAAAUGAGUUUCUUAUACAGACUAUAUUCUUUUUCUGUCCUAAUUCUAAGCUAAACUUAUAGUUAUAACUAAAUAUAUUGGAUAAAUUCUUGUUCUGUAAAGAAUUUACCUCUCCGCAAACUCUGGUACAAAGAAAUAAAGACUUCACUGAAAUUGAGUCCUUAUGGAUCAAUGACUUGCAUCAUACUAUCCUAAAAGCCUUUCUUAGGUUCACGCAAUCACAUGAUGGGGAUUUCUUAUUCACUUAAUCACACUGUUAUAGAAUCUUAAUUCUUUCUCAUAAUUCUGAUAGCUGGUACUUGAUUAUUAUAUUGCUGAUAGGGGCUUUCUUAUUCACCUCCUUACAAUGUUAAAGAAUGUUAGUUCUUAAUAGUUGUAGUAAACACAAUAUUGCUUACAAGUUUGUGCAUGUUUUGUGAAUAGUAAUGUAGACCAUGAAAGUUGGGGGGAGUUGAUUGUACUGGUUACGCAUAUGUCCACCCAUUACUUGCAACCAUAGAUUGGACUCUGUUAUCCGGGUUCAAAUUGUUUUGAAUGGUGACGCUCUGAAUGAUCUGUCCUUUCACUGACUAUAUCGACAAAUUAUGAAGAUACCAAAAUUAAAGGAAAAGCUGAAGGAAUUGGCAUGGUGGAUCUCAAGUUGCGGCUGCAAUAAAGGUACAGGACUUGUUUGGUUCUCAAAUUUGUUUGAAGACUGAAAACGGAUCGACUUCGGCCACCUGUCUGAUUGGUAAUGUGAUCGUGGAGCCAGCAGAGGAUGAAGUUCCGCCUAAAUAGAAAAAAGGCCUCUGAAGAAGACGAGGAUGCAGAUGAUCUUUUGUCGAAUGCAAGCGACCAGAGCGACAGGAGAUUGAUAACAUGUCCGUGUCUGGGCAUCUUCCUAUUGAGGAAUUUGACUCUUAUGAUCUCGAUGGAAGUGCUGAUAAGGACUAUGGCACUUGCAAUUGGUAGUAAUAGAGAGAGAGGUCCUUCACCCAUGUGGACAUGGUAAUGAUGACGAGGGUGGUUUGGAUGCAUGAUAUGGUGUGGUGAUGAUUUUGAUGACGUAGUAGUGUUGCGAUGGUGGUGGCACCGACCAGUGAUGACAACGGUGAUGAUCAAUCCAAUAUAAUUGGCAAGUGGAAGUUUGACACAUGUUCUCAAGCGUCACAAUCACCAUUUGCUAGUCGUGAAGACGAUGAACGCCUCAUGAUGAAUGACAUGAGGCCCAACGUGAUAAGUCCAGAUCACAUACAGAAUAAGAAAAAGAAUUACAAGUCUAGCCGAGCAUAUUUCUCAGAAAAUGUUAUCUAUAUCCCAUAUGUUUGCAACUUUUAUUACUUCUUGACGUGAUAACAUGUGCAUAGAAGAAAUGCUUUUGUCUAGAAAAAAAGAAAAAGGUAAAUGCAAAGAACAUACGACAUACUGGCUUCCA